AUUGAACGCUGGCGGCAUGCCUUACACAUGCAAGUCGAACGGCAGCACGGGAGCAAUCCUGGUGGCGAGUGGCGAACGGGUGAGUAAUAUAUCGGAACGUGCCCAGUCGUGGGGGAUAACGUAGCGAAAGCUACGCUAAUACCGCAUACGAUCUAUGGAUGAAAGCGGGGGAUCGCAAGACCUCGCGCGAUUGGAGCGGCCGAUAUCAGAUUAGGUAGUUGGUGAGGUAAAGGCUCACCAAGCCGACGAUCUGUAGCUGGUCUGAGAGGACGACCAGCCACACUGGGACUGAGACACGGCCCAGACUCCUACGGGAGGCAGCAGUGGGGAAUUUUGGACAAUGGGCGCAAGCCUGAUCCAGCAAUGCCGCGUGCAGGAUGAGGCCU
rnacentral:rRNA from 1 species